UACGGGGGGGGCAAGCGUUGUUCGGAAUUACUGGGCGUAAAGGGCGCGUAGGCGGCCAUCUAAGUCAGACGUGGAAUCCCUCGGCUCAACCGAGGAACUGCGUCUGAUACUGGAAGGCUUGAAUCCGGGAGAGGGAUGUGGAAUUCCAGGUGUAGCGGUGAAAUGCGUAGAUAUCUGGAGGAACACCGGUGGCGAAGGCGGCAUCCUGGACCGGUAUUGACGCUGAGGCGCGAAAGCUAGGGGAGCAAACGGG
rnacentral:rRNA from 1 species